rnacentral:rRNA from 1 species
AGUGAACGCUGGCGGUAGGCCUAACACAUGCAAGUCGAACGGCAGCACAGUAAGAGCUUGCUCUUACGGGUGGCGAGUGGCGUACGGGUGAGGAAUACAUCGGAAUCUACUUUUUCGUGGGGGAUAACGUAGGGAAACUUACGCUAAUACCGCAUACGACCUACGGUUGAAAGCAUGGGAUCUUCUGACCUUGCGCGAUUGAAUGAGCCGAUGUCGGAUUAGCUAGUUGGCGGGGUAAAGGCCCACCAAGGCGACGAUCCGUAGCUGGUCUGAGAGGAUGAUCAGCGACACUGGAACUGAGACACGGUACAGACUCCUACGGGAGGCAGCAGUGGGGAAUAUUGGACAAUGGGCGCAAGCCUGAUACAGCCAUACCGCGUGGGUGAAGAAGGCCUUCGGGUUGUAAAGCCCUUUUGUUGGGAAAGAAAAGCAGCAGGUUAAUACCCCGCUGCUCUGACGGUACCCAAAGAAUAAGCACCGGCUAACUUCGUG